UACUGCUGCAGCUGCUGCCGCCUGGAAGUGCUGCCGGGUCUGCAGAUAGGAAGAGGAGGGCUGCCCAGCUCUUGGUGCGAUCGCGUGUCCUCCAGGAAGGGGUCGGGUUGGGGGAGCUCCGAAGCGGCGCCUGCGAGAAAGGGGCGGAGGAAGGAGGAGCGAGACAGAGGAGGCGGGCGGCUCCGCAGGUUAUUGAAGAGAUGGCCCAUAAUGCUGCCAGCUGCCAUUUUGAAAGGAUGAUAGUGACAGGAUCCACACUCCAUUUCACUCGCCGAUAGUCUUAAAAUGAAGACCUCCAUUUAGGUAAGUAUAUGAAAAUGUGGCAGAUCACUUGACUCCUGAGGCUUCCGCCAUUUUGUAUGAAAGCGACACUCCUUAAUCCCAGGGGCAUUGUUAGAAAGUGGCUGAGGGGACCCAAGCCCUGGGCCUGUUGUGGUGGGCUACAGAUCCCAUGUUCCUCCUCUCUCUUGUGUAAAACCUUCCUUUAAA